AACGAACGCUGGCGGCGUGUUUAAGACAUGCAAGUCGAACGGGUUGAAGUUGUAGCAAUACCGCUUCAACCAGUGGCGCACGGGUGCGUAACACGUGAGUUACAUGCCCUGCAGUGGGGAAUAGCCCGCCGAAAGGCGGAUUAAUACCCCAUGGUCCCGCAAGGGUAAAGGUGGCGCAAGCUGCCGCUGCAGGAUUGGCUCGCGGCCUAUCAGCUAGUUGGCGAGGUAACGGCUCACCAAGGCGACGACGGGUACCUGGUCUGAGAGGAUGAUCAGGCACACUGGAACUGAGACACGGUCCAGACACCUACGGGUGGCAGCAGUCGAGAAUAAUUCACAAUGGGGGAAACCCUGAUGGUGCAACGCCGCGUGGAGGAUGAAGGUCUUCGGAUUGUAAACUCCUGUCAUCGGGGAGUAAGACCUGACGGUAAAUAGCCGGCAGGGUUGAUAGUACCCGAAGAGGAAGGGACGGCUAACUUCGUGCCAGCCGCCGCCGUAAAAC
rnacentral:rRNA from 1 species